rnacentral:tRNA from 1 species
GGCCCUUUAGUAUAGUGGUAGAAUACAUCGUUUGGGACGAUGUGGCGGGCGUUCUAUUCGCCCAAGGGCCC